rnacentral:rRNA from 1 species
GACGAACGCUGGCGGCGUGCUUAACACAUGCAAGUCGAACGGUAAGGCCCCAGCUUGCUGGGGUACACGAGUGGCGAACGGGUGAGUAACACGUGGGUGACCUGCCCCGCACUUCGGGAUAAGCCUGGGAAACUGGGUCUAAUACCGGAUAGGACCGCACCGUGAGGGUGUGGUGGAAAGUUUUUCGGUGUGGGAUGGGCCCGCGGCCUAUCAGCUUGUUGGUGGGGUAAUGGCCUACCAAGGCGGCGACGGGUAGCCGGCCUGAGAGGGUGGACGGCCACAUUGGGACUGAGACACGGCCCAGACUCCUACGGGAGGCAGCAGUGGGGAAUAUUGCACAGUGGGCGGAAGCCUGAUGCAGCGACGCCGCGUGGGGGAUGACGGCCUUCGGGUUGUAAACUCCUUUCACCAUCGACGAAGGUUUUCUGACGGUAGAUGGAGAAGAAGCACCGGCUAACUACGUG